rnacentral:rRNA from 1 species
GCGUUGUCCGGAUUUAUUGGGCGUAAAGAGCUCGUAGGCGGUUCGGUAAGUCGGGUGUGAAAACUUUGGGCUCAACCCAAAGCGUGCACUCGAUACUGCCGUGACUAGAGUUCGGUAGGGGAGCGGGGAAUUCCUAGUGUAGCGGUGAAAUGCGCAGAUAUUAGGAGGAACACCGGUGGCGAAGGCGCCGCUCUGGGCCGAAACUGACGCUGAGGAGCGAAAGCGUGGGUAGCAAACAGG